GACUGCCCGUACUGCAAACCGACACAGGUGGUCAGGAUGAGAAAUCUAAGGCGGACAGGCUAACUCUCGUUAAGGAACUCUGCAAAAUAACCUCGUAACUUCGGGAGAAGAGGAGCCCUUGGGUGUUAGUAUCCACGCGAUACAAAGCGCUCGAGGGUCGCAGUGAAGAGGCUCAAGCAACUGUUUAACAAAAACACAGGUCUAUGCUAAGCUGGAAGGCGAUGUAUAUGGGCUGACACCUGCCCAGUGCUGGAAGGUUAAGAGGAGGAGUGAGAGCUCCGAAUUGAAGCCCCAGUGAACGGCGGCCGUAACUAUAACGGUCCUAAGGUAGCGAAAUUCCUUGUCGGGUAAGUUCCGACCUGCACGAAUGGUGUAAUGAUUUGAGCGCUGUCUUGACGGGAGGCCUGGUGAAAUUGUAUUACCGGUGAAGAUACCGGUUACCUACAGUAGGACGGAAAGACCCCAUGGAGCUUUACUGUAGCUUGGUAUUGGGUUUUGGCAUUGCAUGUAUAGGAUAGUUGGGAGACUGAGAUGAUAUGGCGCUAGCUGUAUCGGAGUCAUCGGUGGAAUACCAACCAUUCAAUGCUGAAAUUCUAAUCUGUGGUUUGUAGCCACGGAGACAGUGCUAGGUGGGCAGUUUGACUGGGGCGGUCGCCUCCGAAAGAGUAACGGAGGCGUUCAAAGGUUCUCUCAGGUUGGAUGGAAAUCAACCAUAGAGUGCAAUGGCAUAAGAGAGCUUGACUGCAAGACUGACGGGUCGAGCAGAUGCGAAAGCAGGACAUAGUGAUCCGGCGAUUCCGAAUGGAAGGGUCGUCGCUCAACGGAUAAAAGCUACCCUGGGGAUAACAGGCUGAUCCUACCCGAGAGUCCAUAUCGACGGUAGGGUUUGGCACCUCGAUGUCGGCUCAUCGCAUCCUGGGGCUGGAGAAGGUCCCAAGGGUUGGGCUGUUCGCCCAUUAAAGCGGUACGUGAGCUGGGUUCAGAACGUCGUGAGACAGUUCGGUCCCUAUCCACUGUAGGCGUUAGAAUAUUGAGAAGACCUGUCCUUAGUACGAGAGGACCGGGAUGGACAAACCUCUGAUGUACCAGUUGUCACGCCAGUGGCACAGCUGGGUAGUCACGUUUGGAAUAGAUAACCGCUGAAAGCAUCUAAGCGGGAAACUAACUUCAAGAUAAGUAUUCUUUAAGAUACCUUCGAGCCUAGGAGGUUGAUAGGUUGGGGGUGUAAGUACAGCAAUGUAUUUAGCUGACCAAUACUAAU
rnacentral:rRNA from 1 species